rnacentral:rRNA from 1 species
UACGUAGGGUGCGAGCGUUGUCCGGAUUUAUUGGGCGUAAGGGCUCGUAGGCGGCGUGUCGCGUUCGGGAGUGAAAGCCCGCUGCUUAACGGCGGGUUGGCUUCCGGUACGGGCAUGCUGGAGUGUGGCAGGGGAGACUGGAAUUCCUGGUGUAGCGGUGGAAUGCGCAGAUAUCAGGAGGAACACCGGUGGCGAAGGCGGGUCUCUGGGCCAAUUACUGACGCUGAGGAGCGAAAGCGUGGGGAGCGAACAGG